rnacentral:tRNA from 1 species
GUUUCUGUAGUGUAGUACUCAUCACGCGCGCUUCACACGUGCAAGGUCCCCAUUUCGAAGCUGGGCGGAAACA